GCUGGAAUUGCUAGUAAUGGCAGGUCAGCAUACUGCCGUGAACACGUUCUCGGGCCUUGUACACACCGCCCGUCACACCAUGAGAGUUGGAAAUACCCGAAGCCUGUGAGCUAACUUAAAGAGGCAGCAGUCGAAGGUAGAGCCAAUGAUUGGGGUGAAGUCGUAACAAGGUAGC
rnacentral:rRNA from 1 species